UAGGGAAUCUUGGACAAUGGGCGAAAGCCUGAUCCAGCCAUGCCGCGUGAGUGAUGAAGGCCUUAGGGUUGUAAAGCUCUUUCGCCAGGGAAGAUAAUGACGGUACCUCUUGAAUAGCACCGGCUAACUCCGUGCCAGCAGCCGCGGUAAUACGGAGGGUGCAAGCGUUAUCCGGAAUCACUGGGCGUAAAGGGCGCGUAGGCGGUCUGUUAAGUCCGAUGUUAAAUCCCGGGGCUCAACCCCGGAUAAGCGUUGGAUACUGGCAGGCUAGACGGUUGGAGAGGCGAGUGGAAUUACCAGUGUAGCGGUGGAAUGCGUAGAUACUGGUAGGAACACCCAUUGCGAAGGCAGCUCGCUGGACAACACGUGACGCUGAGGCGCGAAAGUGUGGGGAGCAAACC
rnacentral:rRNA from 1 species